rnacentral:rRNA from 1 species
UACGUAGGGAGCAAGCGUUGUCCGGAAUCAUUGGGCGCAAAGCGCGCGUAGGCGGUCCGGUAAGUCCGCUGUGAAAGUCGGGGGCUUAACCCUCGGAUGCCGGUGGAUACUGUCGGGCUUGAGUACGGAAGAGGCGAGUGGAAUUCCUGGUGUAGCGGUGAAAUGCGCAGAUAUCAGGAGGAACACCAGUGGCGAAGGCGGCUCACUGGACCGGAACUGACGCUGAGGCGCGAAAGCGUGGGGAGCAAACAGG